UACGGAGGGUGCGAGCGUUGUCCGGAAUCACUGGGCGUAAAGGGCGCGUAGGCGGCCUGAUAAGUAGGGGGUGAAAUCCUGCGGCUUAACCGCAGGGCUGCCUUCUAAACUGUCGGGCUUGAGCACAGUAGAGGCAGGUGGAAUUCCCGGUGUAGCGGUGGAAUGCGUAGAGAUCGGGAGGAACAUCAGUGGCGAAGGCGGCCUGCUGGGCUGUUGCUGACGCUGAGGCGCGACAGCGUGGGGAGCAAACAGG
rnacentral:rRNA from 1 species